rnacentral:rRNA from 1 species
GUCGGGAAUUUUGGGCAAUGGGCGAAAGCCUGACCCAGCAACGCCGCGUGAGGGAUGAAGUAUUUCGGUAUGUAAACCUCGAAAGAAUGGGAAGAAUAAAUGACGGUACCAUUUAUAAGCUCCGGCUAACUACGUGCCAGCAGCCGCGGUAAUACGUAGGGAGCAAGCGUUGUUCGGAUUUACUGGGCGUAAAGGGCGCGUAGGCGGCGCGGUAAGUCACUUGUGAAAUCUCUGAGCUUAACUCAGAGCGGCCAAGUGAUACUGCUGUGCUAGAGUGCGGAAGAGGCAACCGGAAUUCUUGGUGUAGCGGUGAAAUGCGUAGAUAUCAAGAGGAACACCUGAGGCGAAGGCGGGUUGCUGGGCCGACACUGACGCUGAUGCGCGAAAGCCAGGGGAGCAAACG